rnacentral:rRNA from 1 species
AGGAUAAACGCUGGCGGCGUGCCUAAUGCAUGCAAGUCGAACGGAGUAGGCCUUCGGGCAUACUGAGUGGCGGACGGGUGAGGAACACGUACGAGACCUGCCCUCGGAUGGGGAAUAAGCCCUCGAAAAGGGGGUCUAAUGCCGCAUACGGUCCCAAGCAGCAAGGUUUGGGAGGAAAGCUCGAGAGGGCGUCCGAGGAGGGGCGUGCGGCCGAUUAGCUAGUUGGUGGGGUAAAGGCCUACCAAGGCGACGAUCGGUAGCUGGU